UUUCGGUCCCUCGUGAUUCGACUUCUCUUUUUGUAGUUUUAGUAUAGUAAGGUGAGCGCUGAAGCGCUGCACGAAUCUUUCUUAGAAAGAUUCAGCGACGAAGUUCUGCCCCUACAGAGCCCGACUCCUAGCUAAAAUCCCCUUGUUUCGUCGAAGGAAAUUAUUUUAAAGUAAACGAAGCGCUGUCCGAGUACCGAGUCACCACCUUCUCAAGUGACGAAGUGAAGUGACAUUACACUGAGAGAUUUAAAAGAGAUGUAGAUCACUAGUGUAAAUCAUUGUAAGUCUGUUUAUGCUUAUGUUUCGGUAUUAACGAUGACAUCCCAAACAUUUUAAAAUGAAAUAAAUACGUUUCUUCGAAAAUGUUUUAAUAACGUAUUUACCAUG